rnacentral:rRNA from 1 species
UGGGGAAUUUUGGACAAUGGGCGAAAGCCUGAUCCAGCAAUGCCGCGUGUGUGAAGAAGGCCUUCGGGUUGUAAAGCACUUUUGUCCGGAAAGAAAUCCUUGGCUCUAAUACAGUCGGGGGAUGACGGUACCGGAAGAAUAAGCACCGGCUAACUACGUGCCAGCAGCCGCGGUAAUACGUAGGGUGCAAGCGUUAAUCGGAAUUACUGGGCGUAAAGCGUGCGCAGGCGGUUUGCUAAGACCGAUGUGAAAUCCCCGGGCUCAACCUGGGAACUGCAUUGGUGACUGGCAGGCUAGAGUAUGGCAGAGGGGGGUAGAAUUCCACGUGUAGCAGUGAAAUGCGUAGAGAUGUGGAGGAAUACCGAAGGCGAAGGCAGCCCCCUGGGCCAAUACUGACGCUCAUGCACGAAAGCGUGGGGAGCAAAACAGGAUUAGAUACCCUGGUAGUCCACGCCCUAAAACGAUGUCAACUAGUUGUUGGGGAUUCAUUUCCUUAGUAACGUAGCUAACGCGUGAAGUUGACCGCCUGGGGAGUACGGUCGCAAGAUUAAAACUCAAAUGAAUUGACGGGGUCAUAGCUGUUUCCU